GAUGAACGCUGGCGGCGUGCCUAAUACAUGCAAGUCGAGCGAACAGACGAGGAGCUUGCUCCUCUGACGUUAGCGGCGGACGGGUGAGUAACACGUGGAUAACCUACCUAUAAGACUGGGAUAACUUCGGGAAACCGGAGCUAAUACCGGAUAAUAUAUUGAACCGCAUGGUUCAAUAGUGAAAGACGGUUUUGCUGUCACUUAUAGAUGGAUCCGCGCCGCAUUAGCUAGUUGGUAAGGUAACGGCUUACCAAGGCAACGAUGCGUAGCCGACCUGAGAGGGUGAUCGGCCACACUGGAACUGAGACACGGUCCAGACUCCUACGGGAGGCAGCAGUAGGGAAUGUUCCGCAAAGGGCGAAAGCCUGACGGAGCAACGCCGCGUGAGUGAUGAAGGUCUUCGGAUCGUAAAACUCUGUUAUUAGGGAAGAACAAAUGUGUAAGUAACUAUGCACGUCUUGACGGUACCUAAUCAGAAAGCCACGGCUAACUACGUG
rnacentral:rRNA from 1 species